CGCCACCCCCACCCACCACCGCCGACCUCGUCUCCGCCACGCACCCUCUCCCCUCGCCUUCAUCCCCCAGAUCCACCAGUCUGCUUCUCGGCCAUGGCGUCAUGGCCGGUUUUCUCGCCGGCGUGCGCGUGCUUGCUUCGAUGCGCGCCACUCCGUCGAGCUGGCCGGACCGUGGCGCGCGUGUGGACCGGCCUCCGUCGUAUUCCCCAAACCCCGGCCUCCACUCCACACUGGCGCCCUUUCCCCUCCCUCUUCAUAGAUCCUUUGGAGCAGCCACCUCUAGGGCGGCGCCGCACCAGCGGGAGGGGGAGGGGGGAAGGUCUACACGCUGGCGCAGUACGAGGGUGACCUCUCCAACGCCGACUGCAGCAACUACGUCACCCAGGCCAUGCAGCGUGUCGCGGCCGAGUGCGGCGGCGCCCCCUCCGGCCAGCAGCCUCCUCCCGCACCUCCGCCUUGGCGCGCGCUGCCCGGCGCCCCACCCCUCGUGGGCUCUCGCCGCCACGCGCCAUCUAGCCUGCGGUCCUGCCCCGUCUCCCCCGCUCUGGGCUCCCCAAGAAACUAUGAGGAUGACAAGGUGAAGACCUCCAAGCUUCGUUUUGUUCUUCUUCUUCAUGUGCUACUUGCAGCAUCAAGGGGAUCUUCGACCACUACCAGCAGGCCACCAGGACCAGCCUGUGGACCGAUCAGUAUGAGAAUAUGCAGCGCACCCUGAGCCGGCUCAAGAGCAUCAACCGGAACCUGCGCACCGAGAUCAGCACACUUGCUUCGACGUCGACCCGUCUAUCGUCAUCGCCUUCGAGGAUGACGAGGACACGGCAGGCGCCGUCAGCCUUGGUGGCAGCUUCCACCACUACCACAUCGUCAUCACCUACCAGUUCCAUGACGGCGUCUGGGCCGUCGAGUCCUUCUGCAGCUGCUACCGCUGCUCCUUCCACAGUUUGGGUGGGACUCGUCGGAUCAGCGUCCUCGUUUCCUAUUUCAAAGCUCAAGUGUGAAGUCGUGAAGUGUGAAGCAAGUGUGAAGCCGUGAAGUGUGAAGCCAAGUGUGAAGCUGUGAAGUCCAACUCAUUGUAGCAUAUCUGUGUUGUAAAGAUUGUAAUAGAUUUAUUUAGUGGUAUAUUUGAUGAAUUUUAUGCGUUCUUUGUUCUAUUUGAAAUAUUGAUUAUGUAUGUGAUUUGAAAACUUGUGAAUGGAAACUUGUCCAG